UACAGAGGUCCCAAGCGUUGUUCGGAUUCACUGGGCGUAAAGGGUGCGUAGGUGGCUUGGUAAGUUCGAUGUGAAAUCUCCGGGCUUAACCCGGAAAUGGCAUUGAAUACUAUUGAGCUGGAGGUUUGGAGGGGGGACUGGAAUUCUCGGUGUAGCAGUGAAAUGCGUAGAUAUCGAGGAGACACCAGUGGCGAAGGCGAGUCCCUGGACAACACCUGACACUGAGGCACGAAAGCUAGGGGAGCAAACAGG
rnacentral:rRNA from 1 species